ensembl:lncRNA
AUAGAGCCUGCCUGAAACUUUGAAACGGGAGUGGCAUUCAGGGAGGGAAACGUGGGUGUACGGGGCGCGGGAGCCAACCCUGAUGCGCGGCCUGUGAAAUGCGACCCAGGGGUACUCUGGGACCCCCGGGGUCUGGGGCUGCCCCGAAGGGGAGCACAAGGGUUAAACAGCUCUGAUAGGAGAAAGUCAAUGAGCACGCAAUAAAGUGGACUUGUUAGGGCCAGUUUACCAUCAGCCUUGCUAAAGUUGAACUUCAUUUGUAUUUAAAGACAGACUUUGAAGAAAAUUCUUAUUUGAAACUGGUGAUAAAAUCCAGGUCAGAUAGUUACAUACAAACAUACAGUACACACUACUGCUCAAAAGUCCCUGAUUUUAAGAGAAAAUUGGCUUUAAUGUAAUAUCACAUGAAGUUUAUCAGUAAUGUUUUCACAGCUUUAAUCAAAUCAUUCAUCAUCCAUAAGUUGUGAUGGAAAAAUGUCUGCAAGUGUGCAGGAGCCCAUUUUUAGAGACAAUCACUCCUGUGUUAUAAUGUUAAUUGAAGGUUUUUUUUUGUUUUUUUUUUUUGGCCUGUCCCGUUUGGCUCUUUUGCCAUCAGAAUUGUUGUCUAAAGGCAAAGAAAGAUGCCCAACGGAUUUACUUUACCAAACUGACCAUCCCAGCCUUGCCGUAAUGGUCCAUUUGAUUCACCUUUUAUUGUUUAUUUUAUUUUCACUUACUGAAUACGGGACAGACUUGACUGGGGGAAAGAAGGGGAGAAAGAAAGAGGGAAAGAGAAACAGCUGAGAAGAGGGACGGGGGAGAAGGGCAAAAACCAAAAACCAACAGAAUGAGCAGAAAAAGAAAAAAAAGAAGAAAAAAAGAAAAAAAAUGCAUAUAUCAAUCACCUGGGUCACCUGCUGAGAAAGAAAAAAGAAAACAAGCAGAAGAGAACAAGAGUAAUAGAAUAAGCAACAUCACAAUGAUAUAUGGGAAUAUGACAGUAAAUACUAAAUAUUAAACAUUAUUGUGCAGCACAUAAGAUCAACAGAACACAGUGUGCUUUGAGGUAGGAGCCAAAAAGGGUGUAGUUUGUGGGUGUGAUCACCCGUGUGUACACCUGUGAGCAUGGACGCGCUUGUUUUUUAAAAGGUACCUUCAUGUAAUGAGCUGCUAGAUCCGAUACCAAGUAAUAUUCAGGGUGGUAUCGACGAUACUGAUCCGAUACCGAUACUUUGUACAAAACGGAUUUUAUUUAU